rnacentral:rRNA from 1 species
CCUACGGGUGGCUGCAGUAGGGAAUUUUGCGCAAUGGGCGAAAGCCUGACGCAGCAACGCCGCGUGAUCGAGACGCCCUUCGGGGUGUAAAGAUCUGUCAGUGGGGACGAAACUUGACGGUACCCACAGCGGAAGCACCGGCUAACUCCGUGCCAGCAGCCGCGGGAAUACGGGGGGUGCAAGCGUUGUCCGGAAUCAUUGGGCGUAAAGAGUUCGUAGGCGGCACGUAAAGUCUGGUGUUAAAGGCAGAGGCUCAACUUCUGUACGGCACUGGAUACUUGCGAGCUAGAAUGCGGUAGAGGUAAGGGGAAUGCGUGGUGGAGAGGUGAAAUGCAUAGAUAUCAGGAAGAACACCGAUGGCGAAGGCAGUUUACUGGGGCGUGACUGACGCUGAGGAACGAAAGCCAGGGGAGAGAAUGGGAGUAGAGACCCCUGUAGUC